GCGCUGGCUUGUCCUCCGCCCACAACGAUAAAAAUAAAUGACUCCACGAGGGCCUCCGGGGAGGUUGCGGGCGGCUAUGGGUGCCUCCGGCCGCACGCCCAUUCUUGUCUACUGACCCGGUUGCCUCGGCGGGCCGCGCCUGCUGUGCUACAGCGGCCGUUCGGGGGGGACGCCUGAGGGGGACUCUUGUUUCCUAGGCCACGCCCCGGGCAGCGCUCGCCGGAGGAUUACUCUGGAAAACACACUCUUGAAAGAACAUACCGUCUGAGCGAGCAACGCAAUCAGUUAAAACUUUCAACAACGGAUCUCUUGGUUCCGGCAUCGAUGAAGAACGCAGCGAAAUGCGAUAAGUAAUGUGAAUUGCAGAAUUCCGUGAAUCAUCGAAUCUUUGAACGCACAUUGCGCCCCCUGGCAUUCCGGGGGGCAUGCCUGUUCGAGCGUCAUUUCAACCCCUCAAGCCCGGCUUGUGUGAUGGACGACCGUCCCCCCUCCCCAGUAACCACCCACCGCUUAGGGGGGUGGGAGGGAGGGGGACGCGCCCGAAAAGCAGUGGUCAGGCCGCGAUUCCCGGCUCCUGGGCGAAUGGGACAUACCACCGCCUCCAGGACCGGCCGGCAGGCUGGCCUAACGCACCAUGUAUUAUUCAGGUUGACCUCGGAUCAGUAGGAUACCCGCUGACUUAGCAUAUCAUGAAGGCGGCGGAGAGGACAGGUCUGGCGAUAUGAAAUGGCCCCAGCGUUCCACAGACAGUCGUCUUCCUGUGAUGAGAUAGCCCGCCAGCUCUGCUGACGACGUGCUCUCGCCAUAUGAGUGAUGGCGCGCAGCUAUACGUGACACAGAACCCGC
rnacentral:rRNA from 1 species